ACCCAAGAUCCAUUUAAAAAGCUAUAAGAACUAAUAAAAAAGAAGCUAGAUAAUGACUUGAGAGGGACUUGCCAUAGGAAGUUGAGCAAAGCUCAAGAAGAUGAGAGAUGGGGAGAAGAACGAGGCGGAAGUGUAACGUUUGUGUAUACUAUUAGAGAUUUUUUAAUGUGAAAGAGAUAUUAUUAUUUUUUAUAAAUGAAAAAAAAUUAUAAUACUUAAAGAUAAUUGGUUGAGGGAGAUGAAGCUUUGGGAGGAGACAAGAAUGGUGUACCUAAAAACACAUUCCGGAUCUCGGACAUGUUACAACAUAUAUAUCCAUGCUUUUUAUUAUUAACCUUGCUUUAUACUAUUCUUCUUCUUUGUUUAGUUAUUUUGCUUUAAGGGUACAAAAAACUUUAGCUUAUAAUUUCCUCCGUUGGGACUGGGAGUAUUAUUACAAGUAAUUUAUAUGGAGUAUAUAUAUCGAAGUUGGUUAAAUAUUUAAUAUCCGAGUUGAAGUCUUAAGUUUUGUACAACAUGGUCCCAAAUCUCAUCAUUUAAGUAUGGUCGUAGUUUCUCUGUUAGAACGUAAGAUGUUCAACAAUGUAGGCUAUUUGAAGUAUUGGGACAUUUUUCCCAAUUUGUAUGCGAAUUAUUAAUUGGGUUUUUAUUUUGUUUUUUACUUAAUUUUCUUCACUUGUGAUCUAUCUAUAUGCAUGCUAGCUGUAACGGUGUUGAAAAAAGGAAAAAGUAACUGUAACCUGUGAAUUUAUUAGAUAGUUUUGGUAACAUUCUUAGGAAGUUAUUUAUGAUUUAUAAAAUAAAGUAACAUUGUCUAUGUGAUGUAUACUUAGAGUGUUGUAAUUCUUUUUUUUUUUUUUGGUAAAAGAGUGUUGUAAGUCUGAACGUAAAUUUGUAACGGAGCUUCACUAGAAUUUGCAGAAGGAAACAAAGGGUAUACUUUGAGUGAGAUUUACUGAUUUACAAUACAUAUGUAUAAUGUGUAUCUAAUACACUUUAAGAGAGAUUUUUUGCCAUCUGUGAGAUUUUUUAAUCUAUGAAAACAAAUAAUAGAAUUGUCCUAUUCAAUGGGCCACUUUAUUCUUGAUACAAUGUAUUGAGUGAUUUUAAACAUCAACUGUGACUGACUACUACGUGUUCGGACAUUUAUGUGUAAUUAAGCAAAAAAGUAUAACCUUGUUUGAUUAAUGUGGCUAGUACGAUAACGUUACAAAUUAUCGAAGUUUACGUAUAGCUAAAAUAAUUUAUUUACUACUUUAGCAAUAUAAUAUUACGAGACGUUGUGUCCAAGCUUUGCAUAAGCAAUUUGAACAGCAUACUUCUUUAACUUAUAUCUCGUUAACACGAAUACAAGUGCUAUCUACGUAUACUUUUAUUUUUGAUCAAUGCUAUUGUAAUCGUAUGUUUGCUGAAGUAAUGAUUAUUUACAUCAUCGAUGCAUGCGCACCACUCGUGACUUUAUUGUGAGGAGUUAGUUUCCUUUUAGGACAUUCAAGCAAAGCGUUAACUAACAGUCUAACAUCGUUAAGCUUAACGAUAAAAGGUGCAAUCCCAGCUUUAUUGUGACAUCGUUAAGCUUUAACUAAAAUCUCUAAUCGAGUUUAUGUUAACCAUAAAAUUCUGCGACAUCGUUAUUUGCAUUAGUCCAUUUUCAUACUCCUAUUUAAUUUGUAAGAUUAACGAUAAAAGGUGCAAUCCCAGCUUUCUAAUACUUACGUUGCAGAUUUCACAAAUAUUAAACAAAUAUUUAAUUUUAAUUAGAAAUAUAAUAUUUUCAGGAUUAGCUAUUUCCCAAAAUUUUAAUCGAAUCAAAAUUUAAUAGACACAAUUAAAUUUCUUUAAAAUUUAUAAUUUAUCAUUAUUAUUUAAUUAAAUUAAAUUACAUUUGAAAUGUAAACAAGUAUAUCAGGGUUUAAUAAUUUUACGGUUCCGUAUCAAAUUACGGUUACAUUAAUUUUUUGCGGGCUACCUUUUUGUACGUUUCUUAGCCUCCUCCGCUUGGGUUUCGACCUAUAUCCUCUGCUUCCAAAACCAAGAUAAUAAACAAAACAAAAGAUGAUAAAGCCAAUUCUUUAUGCAACCAAGGCAUUUUGGGAGAAUGGAUGCAGACUUUUAAAAUCAUAAAAUACCCUAAUAGCUACACUUCUUGAUAGUCUACAAAGGCAACAGAUGUUUCAAAUAACGACACGAAAUUGAGCAAAAAAAAAGAAGGAAAAUAGUUUAAAAUACAAUUUCACACACACACACACACACAUAUAUAUAUAUAGAUAUUUGUGCGAAUUUUACAUUGAUCAAGUAUGUUCUUAUGGAUGUGCUUCUUUUUUUUGUUCACAGGAUGUGCUUCUUUCAAAUCGAUCUUCAAACUGCAAUUAAUAUUCAGUCUUUACUGUUAUAUAAAUUAAUUCUAUAAACACUAACUAAACCUCUUAAAGUUAUCUCAAUUCUCAACUAAAGUAUAUGCGCUGACGAUAUGGAUGUGUUACGUUUUCAGUGACAACAAUACAGUAUUUUAUUGGGUAACUAGAUUUUGAUCCGCACUUUAAAGGGCGGGUAUAAUUUUUAUUUUAUUUUUUGAAAAUUUUAAUUUUUAUAUUUAUAUUAUUUUUUUUAAAAAAAUUGAUUUUUAUAUUUAUUUUAUUUUUUGUAAUCAUAUUUACGUUUAAUAUUUAUUUAAUUUAAUAUAGUUUUGGUAACUAUAUUAAAUAUGUCAAGUUGUAUAACUUUUCACUUAUGCCAUAUGUAUUUCAGAAAUUAUUUUUAAAAUUUAUUCCUAAAGUUUGUAACAUAUUAUAUUUUUGUAAUAGUUACCUAACACAAUUAGCCAAGAAUAUUCGUAUCCAGAAAAACCCAAUUCGAAAUCGACCCGAGAAUCAAAGUCGAUUACUCUAUUAGGUCUGGCCUAUAUACUCUAACGGUUCUUAGAGUGUUAUAUCCGAAACCAAGAUCAAAUUUAACCCGCAUCGAAAACCAAACAAGUUUUUUGAAAAAAUAUUGAAUUUUUUUUUUAAUAUAUUAUGUUAUAUAUUUGUAAAUUGGGUUAAUAUGAUCUUCACUAACUUUAAGUAAAAUCACAUUGAAUAAUUUUUUUUAAUCAAAUAACCUAUUUAAAACCCAUUAAACUAAAAUCCAUAGAAUAUAUUAAAAUAAAUAAUACUUCCAUAAUAAUAUCAGAUACACAUUAAAACUAUAUUCAGAAUUUAAAUUAGAUAUUAGCCAUAUAAUUAGGUAUCAAAUAGAAGCUGGUUAACAUUAUAUAUUUAAAUGCUAUAUCUUCUAGGGAAUUUAGAUGCAAUUUUAAAAUAUGUUGAUUGAAGUAAUAAUCAACUAACGAUUUUGAUGCUAUCAUGCACUUUUCUCAUCUUUAUUUAAUUUCAGUUUUUGUUUGAUUAAAUAAGAUUUAUAGAUGUAAACAGAAAAAGUGGAUCCCGAUUAUUAUGUUCAAGUGGUGAUUACAUCCACAAUAUAUAAUUAGAUGCAGUUAGUACUUUUUUAAGUAUAGAUUGUUGAAAAUAAUUAGUUGGACUAAACAUAUAUCAAUAGGUCAUGUUCCUAAUUUAAUAGUAUCGAUUAAUUAAAAUCGGAGAGAUAAUAAUAAGCAGGAGGAGCGUGAUGUUGUCAGUAGUAUUUAUAUUUGUGGAAUAAAUGUUAAAAGAAAAACCCUAACUAAGGAAAACAAAACGUUUAACCGUAUAUACAUAUAUAAAUAUGCAUGCGAAUAUUAUGAAUUUUUAGCGCUAAAAUACUCCACAAACAACAACGAUUAAAACAUUAGCGCUAAAACCAUAUAUAAAUUUUAGCAAAAAAAAUAAAAUAAAACCAUAUAUAAAUUGAAUAAGUUUUUUUUUCUUAACUGUAUUUCGACAAGAAAAGUUUUCAUCCGAGAAACAGAAGUUGGUUUAGAGUUUUGACGUCUCAAUUAUUGAUUUCAGAAUGAUAAUAUAUUUUAUUUCCCCAAAAAAGCAAUUGACAAAUUAAUAAUUAGCCAAAAAAGAAACAAAACAUUGGGAACAAGGAAAAAAUAGUGGUUAAAAAGGUAAAUUUGGGUAAGAUGUGGUGAAUAAAUGAAGUCGAGCAUUGAUUAUCGUGUAGGAGAAGAGGGACCCAUUGAGAGUGUCGACGUGAUAGGUGAGACAUAUGAUAGGCUCUCUAGUCUUCUUAGGGGUUAGACUUUUAGAUUAGUAGACAGCUAAGUGGUUUUGUCGUCAAAUCUGUUUUAAAGACUUUGGUUUUUGGUUUUGUUUAUAGUCAAAGCCUAAAAGGCAAAAGCUCAUGCGCUACUCUACUAGUACUAUGCAUGUGCAUUUUACGCCUAGAGAUUAUACUCGUAUCUCUUGUUAUUCUUUGAUUUCAAAUAAUUUCAUAUACAUAUGUGGCUAAAAACAUUUGAGAUUUUAGAUCUGAUGCGAGAUUAGAUUUAAUCAGCUAUAGGAUAUCCAUAUUUGUUUUUCAUAUACCAUUAUCUACAAAUGCUUUACUCUGUAUGUAAUUUGCAUCUGUUGUACUAAAGAUAUGAAUAUGUCGUAAUAACUAAAAAAGUCUGGUCUAAUGGUAUAUGCAUUUGUAGUAUACGAGUAAUUAUUUGGGUGGUAAGGUGAAUCAAUAUGGUUUGUGUUUGUUGUUAGGAAGCAUAGUCGUAUAAACAUGCAUGGGUCCAAAUCGUAUCUUCAAACAAGUUUUUUUCGCUAAAGAAACAAAUUUUAUUAACGAGAGACCAAAAUGAACGUAUGCUUUACAUUAAAAUGGAAGGUUCGUAGAGAUAAGGCGGAGGGAGACAUGGGCACAAAUAAGACAUCAAAGCAUGGGCUCCAUUCUAUAAUAUUUUCAUAUGCCCCUUCUCUUUAUUGUUAUUCUUAAUAAUUAUUCCAUAUAAAUCGUAUAAUUAUGGGUCUCCAUUUCAAUUUCAUCCAUUGUGUCCAGAUUACACUCAUUCAACGUACAUGUCGCUCUUUCCCGUUCUCUCUUCUUUUUCUAUGUUUCCAUACUCGUGGUGAUUUUUGUUCAUGCAUAUACUAGAAAAGUAUCCUUUAUCCGCGACAAAAGAACAAGAUAAAUAUACUAAGAUAUUACGAAAGAUCUAUAGUAACAUUAUAUUGUCAAUUGUGCAUUAUGGUUCUGGCUAGACUUUUCAUUUUGCAAACUAUAAAGUAAGAGUGGACCACUAAAGACCAUUUAAAUCAAGUACCAAUACAUAUUCUAAUAAAUUAAGUUUAAUUUUAAAGGGCUUUUAAGCAUUCUUCUCGAUAUAAAAUAAACAACAGGUUGUAAGAAAAGUAAGCGCCAAAGCAUUAAUGGGCUCAAUUGAUCAAAGUAAAUAACUAAAUAGAGGCCCAUUUGCAAAAUGGGUCCAAAAUGAUUUACUACUAUUUCUGAAUAUAAUUUUUUGACGCUGAAACAAAAUUUUAUAAACGAAACUGCAAUCGAUCCGUAAAUAUUCCUUUUUUUUUCCAACAACAAUUUUAUUUAUAUAAAAUGUAAGAUUACACAUAAGUAAUAAACAUACAACCAAAUGUAAAUCUAAAAUAAAAGAUAAAAUCACAAUAAGUUUUCUUCUGAAUCUUCUUAGUGCAAUCUUCAUGGUUGGAUCCGUAAAUAUCCCUUAUGUAAUCUAUAACAAUAAUACGUAGAUCUCGACAAAAAAAAACAAUAAUACGUAGAUAUAAAAAAUAGUUUUCCUUGGUAUCUUACUCUAAUUUUAGUUUGUAAAUUUAAAAUUAACAAAGAAGUUCAUCUCUGUAAUUAAUUUAUUUAACCUCACACGCAAAAAAAAAACCUGCUAUAUAAAUGAACCAAAAACAUGGAUCCAGAAUUUGAAGACCAGGUCUGUUUGUGGAUAUAAUUUAACAAAUGAUUCAACCUGUCCACCAUAAAUUAAAAUAACAAUUGACAAAAUUUAAAAAUUUAAUAAACGAGAGUGGAAGAAAAUUAAUGGCUGUCAUAUUCAAUACAUUCCAAUUCUAACUAUUGGGUAUUUUUAAUUUGUUUUGUUAUAAACUAAAUAUAUAUAAAGGGUAAAACCAGGCACAAAGCCCUCUCUUUGGUCUCAUUCUUAUUGCUUUUCUCAUGAAAAGCCAAAGCCAAUAAACAGUGUAAAGAAAAAAUAUUAGGAAGACAAUUCAAAAGGGAUCUUGCAGAACUCGUGAGAGGCAUGUAUCAGUAAAAGAGGCACCUUCCUAAAUUAUUAGUUUUCUUGGAGUUUUCUUUGUUAUACAAAUUUUCUUCUGGAUGACUUUUGUGACUAUAAUCAGAAGCAUGAUAUAUGAAAGGAAAUUCAAAAUUCGCAUACUUUGAUAUGUGAUAAUCAAAGCUUCUUCUAAAAUUUUGGAGUAAGAUUCAUAACAACUUGGACGUAGACUUUUUAUUAACAUAAACGGUUGAUCCGGUCGUUCCGGAAAAGAAUACAUUUAAUGCUAUAGAGUGGAUUAGCUGAAAGUAUACCAUACUACUACUUGACUCGAGUUUGGAAUACCUUUCGACUAAUGUCAAGGGUGGACUGAUCAUCUGUUACGGUCCACCAUAUAAAUCACUUGGGCCGAAACUCAAGUCCACAUUGGCCAAGUAACAAUAAACAUUUUGCAAUCCAACUUAUUACAAGUUUAAUCUUAUAGACUUCUGUCCUUGCAAGUUUGAGGAAGCAUUAUAUAUUCUCUAUUUGAUUUACGUAUUAUUAAUAACCAGUGCAUACAAUAAAUAUGUAUAGAUGACCCUGAAUCAAUGGUAAAUUAUUUGAAUCAUGAAUCUAGAAAAAAGAUACUAAAAUUAAUAAAAAAAAAUGGAAGAUCAUGGAUUGCUCCUAUUCUACUAUGCAUGGUUUUUAUUCCAUUAGGAUUGAACAAAAAAAAAUUCCAUUAGUUUUUUUUUCUUUGCAAAUCAAAUCACAAUUUUGUUACCCUUUAGACAAAGGAGACGGACUUCGCCAACUUUACAUAUCUCCAGUGGCUUUUUGUCAAUUUUUGCGAAAGAAUAUCUAACUAAUAAACAACAUUUUAACAAAACAAGAAUCUUUGAUUACAGAGUUUAUUUUCAACGGAGUGGAAUAGCUAUGACCUUUUUACAUGUAUAGAAUACGUAGGUGUACUUCUUACAGAAAAUACACCAUUCCUUUAUUCAUUAAUAAUAAAUGUGAAUGAAUCUAAUAACUAAUAGGAAUAGUUUUUUUUGUAUACCAGACGCGAUGACGCCAAAGGAUGGAUCCAAUCCAUGGGUAAUGGAUAUGCAGAAUAAAGAGAGAAUGACAUAAGGAUUCAGAUGUGACAUGACAUAUUGGCCUCGAUUACUUGGACUAUGACAUUUCAGACCUACCGAUUUUUGCAGUUCUUAAAUAGUCGGAUAACAUUUUUGUCAUUAAAAUACUUACAAUGUUAAAAGAGAUCAUUACAAUUUUGUUUUAUAAAUAACCCUGUCCAUUUUUGUUUACUUUACAGUAUCCUACCUGUUUUUUGUUGCAUUAAUAUAGUUAGAUUUGUGUAAUUCUAUAUAGUGAUGAAUUUUCACGAUUAGCCGUUAGAAACAAGGUUCUAAAACGCAGCCGAGUUAUCCGAUUAAGCGGUGCCGGAGCACUUGGCUGAGGUCCACCGUGGCGAUUUCAUCAUAGGCAGCCCAGAAAUCGGAUUCAUCAAAAAGUUCAUCCUUUAGAAGUUUCAAAUGUUUUAAAUUUCAUGUUGGAUGACAGAUCCAUGAAUUUUAUGCAUAAACAACAAAAAAAGCUUAUAAAAUUUGUUGAUUUUGAUAAAAAUAUACAUUGAAGGCGAAAAACAAGUUGCAGAAACCCUUAGCAAAACGCGUAGAAGAAGAUGAUAAAAUUAUAAUUAUGCCAUUUAUUUAAGAAGCAUACAAAAAUAAUAAAAAACGUCAUUUGGAUUUCGAACUUGACAUGGAAUGAGAAAAUUCAAGCUUAUUUACCACCAGACAACAUUAAAAACUAAAAAACAACAUUAAAAACUAAAAAAAAUAAUUAAAAUUACUCUUCGUUAAAUUCCCAUUUAUUCUCCGAGUUAUUGAUAAAUUGCUAGGCGUAAACCGAUCUACCAAGCUUGCAGGUUUUGGGAUUAGUGUUGUGCCAAAAAGCUAAGUAAAAAAAUGUUGCUAGUGGCUUAAAGCUAUAAUAUAAUUAAAAUCUUGAUUAGACAGGAAAAAGAAAGAAAGAGUUAAAUUAAUAGUAUCAGUCCUUUCGGGAACAUCUGAUUAAAAUCAAUAGUACUGUUUUGUGAUAAGUAAUUAAAUACAUAUGAAAAAGGCCUCCAAUGGAGUUUAUUUUAUUUUAUUUUCAAGCAUGCGAAUCGUAAUAAAACUCAGAAAAAAAGAAAAAAUAAAAGUAGAAGACAUGCUCUGUUAAGUGGUCGCUGUCUUCACUCUCUAAUCUUCUCUGUGUAUUUGGCAGUUGAAUUUCUCUGCAUGCAAAAUCUAAUUUUAGAUUUCGUGUUGGAUUCUCAAUACCUUCACAAACCCCCAAUCUACCCCUGGCAUCAAACGUCAACGUUGAUAUCUCUCUUACAUUUCCCUUAUUUAUUUAUAUAUUUAAAUAUAAUGUACGAUAGAGUGUUCCUUGCCUAUUAUUACUUUCUACUCUGCUAUAGAGUGUUCCUUGCCAUUGUUAUCUUAUCCUUCUCUGUGUGGUAAUUUCCAUCCAACUAUUGAUUUCCUUACGAUAGUUGAGCCCAUCCUCUACUCUGCUAUAGAGUGUUCCUUGCCUAUUAUUACUUUCUACUCUGCUAUAGAGUGUCCGUUGCCUAUUACUUCCUGGUUUCAGAUCUGUUUAACUUCCUCUAGAAUGGAAUACUCAAUGUUAAAUUGCAGAUUUAUAGCUUGGUUGUGGUUUCAGAUCUUGUUUAUCAACACUCUUUUGAAACCAACUUCAACCUUCCUAUUACCAUGGUUUUUGUAUCGUUGCUGCUCAUGUGUUGCAAGGUCAACCUUUGGUUUGGAAGAUUGCUCUACAGAUGAUUUGUUCUCUGUACUGUUCAAAGGCUCAGCAUUUUGGUGUUACACCGCCUCUGCUAUUGUAGCCAGCGUUAAGAUUGUUAUUCCUGCACUAAUUGCAGAACCAAUCACAAGCAUUAGAUCACUGAUUGUGUUCUUUGUUUCCCACGGCUUCAUUCCACUGCUUAAGCCUAGUGUUGGCGAGAUACGAGGACGUCUCUGCAAUGUUAGUUGUUUAUGUAUAAUGAUUGCUUCUAUCUUUGUGUUUUUGCUUGCCUUUUGUUGCAGCAAAAUUGUUAGCCAGUAUGGCUUUGUUAUCAUCUUUGUAAACAAUUUCUCCUCUAAUGGAGACUAGUUAUCUAUAAAAUCUUGUUUGACCAAAAAAAAAAAAAAAAAAAA